UCUUCCCCUGCUUAUUUUUCUUCAGUUCUUCUUUCUUUCUCCUUCUCCCCAUUUCUUAUCAUUUUCUUCUCAUGUUCUUCUCCUUCCAGCAUCAUUCACCACACCUUUCGCAUUUUUAUCUUUAACUUCUUCAUCCUCCUUCUCUAAGUCCUUCUCCUUCAGCCUUCCAACCGUUUUCCAAAAACCCAAUCUUCUCCUCCUGAAAUCCAAUAUUUUUCUCCCCAAAAGAUCCAUUUUUUCAGCUUAGAUCAUCCAAUGUGUACAAAUGAAGGCGGAAUCUCACGAGUGCUCACUCGUGAGAUUCACGUCAUCGUCGGCCCCAUGUUCGCCGGCAAGGCCACCAUGCUACUUCGUAAAGUUCAAUCUAAGAGAGAAUACGGGAGAAAUUUGAAGUUCAGUGAGAUUCACGUCAUUGUCGGCCCCAUGUUCGCCGAUUAGGCCACCACGCUACUUCGUAAAGUUCAGUCCGAGAGAGGCGACAACAGACAAGGUUAAGGGAAAUUACUGUGUUCUCAACCAUGACCUCAUCUUCGACAUCAACACAAGACAUAACCGUGCGAUCAUACAAAUGAAAAAAGAGAAUUAGGGAGGAGGCUUCUUUUUAUGAGCAGUGAACAAAGGUUUGUUUGCUAUCUUUUAUCCCGUAUGGAAAUUUUAAACGAUCAUGCAUUCAUUUUUUCUAAUAUUUGUCAUGUAUUUAAAACAGUGACAUAGAAGAAAUAUCGGAGCCAAGUCUAAAAGACUUUGAUUAAGUUCCCAUCAAAUUGUUGAAAAAAGAAAAAAAAAAGAAAAUCAUCUCUAACUGGUUGGUCCAAGAUUCCACUCCUCCAAAAAAGAAUAGGUGACAAUAUCAUCACUUUCUCUUCCGAUGUAAAUUUAUUGAAACAUAAAUUUAACACCUAUCUAAAUGUUUCAAUUUCUUUUCCCUUUGUUUAGGUUGCUUUAUUAACGGUGAAGAAUGCUCCAUCAAAACUUUAGCUAUUCUAGCUAAAAAAAUUUCCACCCUUUCUUAAUGCACAUCGGACAAUCUUUCUAAUAUUUUUUAGGAUGUAAAUAGUUCUUUUUGAUCAAAAUUGUAUAGUAUUUUUUUGCAUGU